ensembl:lncRNA
AAUCUGAUCCUUUCCUGCGAACACUGUUUCUCCUGGGUGCUCUGACCCAUGUGGUGGGGUCACAGUGAGCAUCUGAGGCCUGAGAUGGACACAGGCAUGCCAUAGAAUCAUAGAAUCAUCAAACCUUUUGGGCUGGAAGGGACCCUUAAAGGACAUCUGGUACCCUGCACUGAGCAGGGGCACCCACAGCUCCAUCAGCGCUGAUCAAAGGGAACACCUAGGAAAAUUACAUGAACAGGAUGAGCAUAAGGCAGUGUUUCCUCUCAUGCUAUCUCCAUCUCCAACAAUUUGCCUCUCAGGAACUUCAGGAGCCAAAGAUGCUUGCAGAUCUUUAAUAAUCCUCGGUGAAUGCUUCUCUCUGGCCUCUUGAACCCAUGGUCUGCCCCUGAGGUGCUGAUGGCCAUGGUUUGACUCACAGAGCUCACUCAGUGCUUAAACAAGAUGGAAUAUACGUUCAAAACAACUUGAAUGAAGAUGCUACCUACCAUCUGCAUUUUAAGGGAGGGCAGAUAUAAAAGCAGGAAGAUUGAAAACAAAGUCAUGUCGUGGAUAAACAGGCUUCCACUAGACAAGUCCAUUUGCAUAUUGACAGCUUUACCAUUAAAUAUUUGCUGUUGUGGCAGCCAGUCAUUUUUUCCAGUGCACAGAUUUUAGAUCAAAAUGAUGCCUGUAACACUUUUAUUCAGAAUAAUGAAAGUGCAUCAGUGAAAGAACAGAGGAAUUGUAUUCAGAGCACCAAAGGUCCCAUUAUUUUCCUUUCAGGGAAAAUACAUAGCCAAGAAGAACUGAAUAUUAAUCUCAAUUUUGGUUGUGCUGACCAUCAGAACAAACCCAAAGAUGUUAAACAAACCCAGCUGAAGUGGUCAGAGUGACCCUGAAACUGUGGGAUAAACUUAUUGCAAGGAAGCGCGCCUGAAUUUCCUUUUGCAUCAUAAUGUGGGAUGGGGCAGAGCACGUGGGUGAGCAGUUCAUGCAAGAAGAUCAACAUAUUGACUUGCUCAAGUUAAAAUAUCUCCUUGUGCAACACUGAGAGCUCCAAACGAUGGUGGAACAAGCAACCAGCUGGAUGAGAAAACUAAAGAUGUGUAAUUCUCAUAGCUCUUUUUCCCCUGUGCCAGAGGCUGUUCUCAGCAGACCUGGGCCUAUGAGAUCUCAGCUACCAGCUUUAGCUCCGCAGUGAUGUAUUUAGUUUUCUCAUACCUCACAUCUGCAGCUUCUCCCAAACCCUUCCUUCUCUGUGCCUUUUUUAUAACGGGUGUGGAAGAGAAGAGCUGUCUCUUGAAUGAUGAAGCACAUCAUUUUACAUCAGCUCCACUGGCCAGCUGCCAGACAUGGUGGAAUCAAUCCUCUUCCACGAAGUCAUCUCUAAGUAAGUAUCACUGCUCUUAUAUACGUUUUUCAUUUGAUUUCUAAGCACUAAUCAAGCCCUGCUAUAAGAGAAAGGCAGGAAGACUCCCUUUGCUCUCUCUACUAUUUCUCCCACUGCAGUGUCCCCGUGAAACUGGGAGACGUGAGCAGAAUCACAGCAGGUAGCAAAGGCAGAAACUCUUCCUGAAAGGUUCCAGAGCUCCCUACUAGAAGGAGUGCUCAUGAAGGAGGCUACUGACACACUUUUUACUCCUGCUGAGCCAUGACUUUUUCCUCCCAAAGAGACCAGGCACUAGAAAGAGAAGCCAGCUGCAGUUCAUUAUCAGGGACUCACAUGAUUUCACCUAU